CUUCAGUCUCUAAAACCAAGAGAGAAAAACUCCUUCUUCCCUCUUUCAAGGCCAAAAGGAUCAGCCAACAGUUGGUCUGGCUUCCAACUGCCUUUCCCUGUAACAUUCCAAAUAGAACACUCUUGUUUGACGGACAGGGCAUCACUCAGCUGCUCUAAACUCCUGCUACAAAAUCAUUCUCAAUUUCUCACUUUCAACCAGCCUGUUUCCUCAGCUUUAAAAUUCAGACAAUAGCUCUAGUACUUAUCACAUAGUUGUUGAGAGAUCACAUAGGUAAUGAAGUGCUCUAAAAAAUAAUGGUUAUAAUCAUUAGACAUCCUCUGAGGCUCCUUCUUGCUCUGGUAGUCUAUGACUUAUCUAGUUCAUUUUACACAUAUUAUCCAAUUUUAUGCCUUCAGCAUCUAUGUGAAGUAUGUAGUAUUAUCUCCUCUUUACAGAUGACGUAACUGAAGCUCAAAAAAGUUGUGACUUGCCAUAUUAUUAGUAAGAAACAAAACCAAGCUUUGAGCUCUGGUCUUUCCCUACUAAAUCAAGCCCUUUCUCUAAUAAACCAAGCUGCUUCCAAUGUCCCCUAUGCUCCCUCAUAUAGCAGGUAAUACCAUACCACCCUUUAGCAGGCUUCAUAUCCUCAAUGAGAAUUCAUCCUAAAAGUGAUUUCUUUGACUUGCAAGUAGUAUAUUACAUUCCAAGAAUUGGAGAACUGCUUGAAAGAUCAUUACAUUAAAAAAAAAAACAUUUUCAUUUGUUUCCAAAGACCAUUGACUUGGAAGCAAAUUACAUUGCUGGUGAGCUACCAACUUAUUCAUUUGUUUGUUCCUGGCCUUUAUCAUUCUUGUCUCAAGUGAGUAAUAUUUGCAUUAGAUUGGCCUCUGUAUUGCCAUAGGACAACCCUGGAAAAUAUUGACAAGGCAAAGCAUUCCAACUCAUUCUGAGCUCUGCAUAGAGAAGAGAGGGUUUUCACUUGGAGCCAAGAGUCCUCUGAUUCCUGGAACAAUGUUUUUCAUAGAUGUUGUCAGACCAAAUAUUCAUAAUCUCUAAACUACAUGUAAUUAAAAGCAUUCAAAAUAUAGAGUCCUAACAAUGGAAUUCUAAAUCAUGAAGGAAAACGAGGAUUGGAUUUCAACUGCCAGAGUGAAUAAUAAUUGGCUCUCUAUGGGAAGACUUUCAUCCAAAGAUCUCCAAGUUCUUUGCAAACUAUUAAUCAUUCCCACAACACCCCAGAGAUGUUACAUAUUGUUCUCCCAUUGUUCCAGAUGGGGAAACUGAGGUUAUGGGAAUAAAUAGUCAGUGACCACACAGCAAGCAAAGCCCACAAUUCUGAAAGGAUCUGGAAUUCCAGACGUACUCUCCUCAGACAUACUUCUUACUUCCUUGCUGUCCUCCCUUUCCAAAUAGACCACACUGCUUCAAAACUAGGAAAGGAGUACUUCCAUUUACCCCAGUAAGAGGCAUAAAAAAAUCUUCCAGCCAAGCUAGACUAUUUAUUCACCGCUGAACCUGCUGGGAGAUGUCUUGCCUCUCUGGCUUUUGUUUAUCCUGUUCCUGAUUCCAGAUGUAGAACAAUUAAGUGGUACAGUAAAUAAAGUACUGGACUUGAAGUCAGGAAGACUUAUCUUUCUGAGUUCAAAUUUGACGUCAGACACUCACUUGGACAAGUCACUUAACCUUGUUUGCCUCAGUUUCCUCAUCUUUAAAAUGAUCUGGAGAAAGAAAUGGUAAAUCAUUUUGGUAUUUUUCCUAAAGAAAUCCCAAAUAAGGUCACAGAGAAUCAGUCACAACUAAAUAACACUACUGAUAUGCUUAUGCCAUCCAUGAAAUCUUAUUCUCUCUUUAAAGUAUAGUUCAAAUGCCAGUUCCUCUGUGAAAGCUUCUCUCAUCUGCCCAUCUACCCUAUUUUUCCAAUGACUUCUCUCAUUUAAAUCUAACAUAACAUUUUGUUUACAUGAAUUCUAUUCACUUAACAUUUUCUCCUUUUUUUGUCAGCACCAAAUUCUGAUCUCUAAAAUACUCUCUAACCUUUCUUAAAGACUUUAACACUGCCCUGAGACUUCCUCUCUACCACAUACCCUGCUAUGAUCUUCAGAGACAUCAUUGUUAUCAUUGUUUACCCUUGUACUACAAAGAACAGAACAAAAACUAUCAAAAGGGACCUGAAACCCAGGAUAAAGAAAGAUAUAGGAAGAGAAUCCUAGCUACCUUUGUUCCCAGCUCUAGACCCAGAAGAAUUUCAUUCCAUAGUACAGAAAAAAAAUUGGCAGAUAUGAUUUCUGGGGCAUUGACAGGAAAAAGAUCAUGGAGAACAGAAGAGUUACCAAAGGA